AUGGCUGACGAUCCAGCUACGAAGCCUAAAGAGCAGGCCAAGUUGAUGGAACAAAAAGAAGGAAAGGGAUCUGACGAUUCACCUACAGAACUGUCCUCCCCAUUCAAGUCGAUGGAGGAGAAAGGAGAAACAGAUCUGGUGACUCAACUGCAAAACUGGCUGGCCCAUCCAAGAUGAGCGAGCUACGCCACAUAGAGCCAGAAAGACGUAGGAGCUUUUUGAAG
rnacentral:lncRNA from 1 species